CAGAGCUGUACCUACAGCUGACAAGAAGAACAGUGAGCUCUCUGCGCCUCAUCAGCACUUUUAGAAACAAUGGAAGUAGUUCUUACCAGACUGAGAGAUUUCUCCUGUAAAGAAACUUCUUUUGAUCACUGUAAAGCAGCAGUGAUGUGCAGGGACCAUUCCUCAUCCCAGGAGGUGUGCAGAGGGAAGCGUAUGGCUGGAGAGGGGGACAUUGAGACUGCACUGGCCUGGCUGAGGAAGGAGCUGAUGGAGAUGCGGUCUCAGGACCAAGCUUUGAUUCGCCAGCUGAUGGAUCUUCAUGACGGCAUUCAGGAACUGAAGCAGGAGUGUGCAAAAGCCAUAGAAGAUGAGGAAGAGGAACCUUGUUGGGACUCUGGGAGUGAGGGUGGGGGGAGCAGUAUGUCCUCCUUCUCAGGAGAAAUGAGCUUUUUCCCUUCCAUCUCCUUUAGCACAUGUAUGAGCCCCGCUCCUCUUGGAGCCUGCCUGCCCAAACGGGCCUUUAGUAGACGCAGCUCUGUGCCCUGAACCCUCCGGUUCAGAUCACAUGUGCUUGAUUAAUACAACAUGUUUCAGCAUGUUACAGUAGUGUUGAGUCUCACAGAAGAACAAAUGAUGAAUUACUUAUGUGAGAAAUUUCAUAAUGUCAUAAAGAAUACUGUAUUUAAAACAACCGGUGUAACACAACUGCCUUAUGCUCAGAACAUACUGUAUACUAUAAAGUGAAAAAGUAAGACAUUUUACAUUGUGAAAAACUUGACAAAGUCUUUGGUGAUAGACUAAUAUUCUACCUGAAUGCACAAUAGAGAUACAUAGAAUGCACUGAGGAAGUUUACUUAAACAGCGCAUAUAUAUCUGUAAAAGUAUUUUCUCUCAUUUUACAAAACUGAAGUGCCUCUUCAAACUAAGUGCAUGACCCUGACAGCAAAAGAAAGUUGCCAGAAUAUUGUCUUGAAAGUUGAACAAUGAACAACUCAUUCAAUUGUAUUAUGAGAGUCAUUGGAAAAUAAAGAACACAUUUUUUUUUUUUUCA
ensembl:lncRNA